rnacentral:lncRNA from 1 species
UGAUUGAACCUCUCUGGACCCUACUGUAGGCCAAAAGCAGGUGCUCUGGGUGCACUUUGAAAUUCCUUAGGUCCAAUAGUCCCAUCUUGAGACUUGUCAACUUCUUGAGAGUGUUAGGCCAAUUGUAACCAUGCCCCUGGGGUGCUCUCCCAUAAUAUUGUCUCUUGCGCUCCAUGGGUUAUGUGAAGGGUGGAACAGAGUGAAGGUGCACUUAGACGCUGACUUCCCACCUCCUUGCAGCCUUUCCAAGCAGAUGGUUGGUGUGAUACCAUCAACAACCGGGCCUACUGCCACUAUGAUGGGGGAGACUGCUGCUCUUCCACACUCUCCUCCAAGAAGGUAAGUGAGGGCACCUGGGACUCUCCUUGCUGGGGCAGCAACACUGGUUUUUCUUCAACGGUCAAGAGGAGGUCAUUAUAAUAAACACACAUUGAAGCUUCUCUGGUGACAGGAUUGAGGUUAGUAAUUUUAGGACAGGCUGUUAGAAAACAUCCGUUCUCUCGUCAGUCCUGCAACUGCUUCGGAAAAGUCAUGCUUCUGCUACUCACAGACUCACAUCUGCUUAUCAUUGUCCAGGAAGUGUUUCAGUAGGCAAGAAAUGAUGCUUCCACCCCGUGGGGAGGCAGGAUUACAUGAAGUGAUAUCCAGUUAUUAUUAAUCUUCAUAGCUAAAUAAAUAAUCCUAGCAAGUGUAUUACCAGUGUAUUGCACGUGUAUGGUGAGCAGCCACCACAAGCUACCUAGAGCACUCCCUGGCCUGUAUCCUGAAUAGUGGUCCUUUUCCUUCUGCCUUUUAUCCUGUUGCUCUGGGAUCUCUUAUAUCAGAAGAUACACUCAAGCUAAGCCUAUAAAAUUGAAUAGACUGAAAGUCUGGAACAAUAUGGAUGAAAAUCCAAGGGGUCCAAAGAUAUUUGAUGCUAGUUGGCCAAUUUGGUGAAUCAAAAAUAUGCAAGAGACGAGUUCCCUCCUUGAAUGUAUCUCCACAGUGAAGUCAUACCUAUGUGAUUACCGCUACACAGACCUAACUACUCUGGCUCCUGAUGGCCCGUACUUACUGAUGGCUCACUCUGUGCCAGGCGUUCUUCUCACCACUGACAUGAACCCACUUAUUUAGUGCAGAGAGCUCAGGGGCUCAUUGUAUCAUUGUUCAGUUUGGCUCUCUUUUGCUGCGAAAACCAGUAAAUCCUAAACUAUGAGAGAGAGAUCAAGAGCUUGGAUUGCAAGUCAGAAAUCAUGCCAACUAGUUCCUGGUCUUGUAAAAAGUAACUAGUCAAGGAUCCCAUUUCUACCCAGGAAGUCAUAACUGCUUUGGAAGAAAGCAAUCAAUUCUCUCCCCAUCACCAUCUCACACUCAGCAAAUCUAGGAUUUGUCUUAAUGGAUUUCUGUGCCUGUGGCCAACAUACACAUGCAUCUGGAUUGAGAAAACAUUUCAUGCCCCCUACUGUUGACUCCUCAAUCACACUUAAUUCAUAUGUGAACAUAUGCUAGAAAAUUCCCUCAAACAUCACCACCAUUGUCCAGCCUACUUGCCCAAUGACCAAGCCCAUCUCUUCAGUGUACUUAGACUCUUAAAUGAUAUGCCAAUGUAUUUUUGUGUCAUUUGCUCAUCCAGACCCAAAGGGUAGACUCUUUGCCACUUUUACAUCAUGUCUCCUGAAUGCCCAAAUCUCUCUGAAGCUAAGUAUGGACACUCAAAAUGUAUGUUUAUCUGUUGGUAGUUGUGCAGGCAAGAAGAGAGCAACUUUUGCUGGACCCUCCCUGGCCUGGAGGAAGGCUAGUUACAUAGCAUGGAGGCAAUCCAGCCAUAAACAAGGGAUAGAGAGAUGCAUUGUCUUACCAAGCCAAAGUAUAUCCUGGGUUCAAGAAGGGAAAACCCUCAAGUUUAUGAAAAUGACAGGGAUGAUCCUAUGGCCCCCAGACACCAAAGAGUAGGAGACAUAGAGCUGGGGUAUAGAGCCUUGGUUUUCCAGAUUCAGUGUAAGAUGACCUGGACCUAAGUCACUUACCUCUCUUGACCUUCCCUGUAAGAAAAGAUACUAACAUUCAUCUUUCCUACUCUGCAUGGAUUUUGUGAAUAUGCUAAUAGCGACAAAAACAUUAAAGCAGUAGUUUCAGACAUGAGUGGGAAUACUAGAAGUAGUAGUAACAGGUGUGAGAAGUGCCUGGAAAUGUAUGUUUCAUACCCAUCAUCUUAUUUAAACCACACUAACACCCUCUGGAGUCGCUGCGGUUGUUCUCCAAACUUUGUAUAUAAAGAAAGUGAAGCAAGGUUUACCUUGCCUAAGGAGACAAGGUAAAUGAAAGAGCUGAGUGUUAAUUUCAGUUCUGUGAUACGAACACAUAACCCCAUGCUCCCUCUGGGACCAAGUGAGAAAAGCAAAAGCUGGUUGAAAGCAUGACACUUGGUGCGACGAUGGGUUAUUUCAACGUCUCUUUGAUUUCCCUAAGGUCAUUCCAUUUGCUGCUGACUGUGAUCUGGAUGAAUGCACCUGCCGAGACCCCAAGGCUGAAGAAAAUCAGUGACUGUGGGAAUGAGCCCCUCCUUCCACUGCCCUGGAGGCAGUGAGAAAGAGAGAGCCCUCCACAAAAGGAAACAAAAGGUGAAUGAAGAAGAAAGGUCAUGAAGGGAGGGACGGAUGAAGAACAUGGAGAAUCUUAUAAGAAACUCAAGAGGAUGUUUAUAGGUGCCAACUAUUGCAUCAAGUAGUCCAAGUAAGGAAGAAUCAUAGGCAAAAAAAAAGUUUCUUCAAAGAGGCAGUUGAUUUAAAGUGGAAAGAAAAAUACGAUAGAUAUACAAGGACCCUCCUCCCAUUUAUAUUCUCUCCAACCCCAUCGUGAAUUCUUGCCCUGCUUCCCACUCUGCACCCUGUCAACUAUUCAGCCCUACCCAACUUGUAAACUAGUACCAAAAUACUAGAAGAGAAGCUGCCAGGGACACUCUGUUAAUACUGGUUUCACAUGGAUUGCCACCUUUCAGGGCUCUUCUAAUCUAAACUGGCUCGCUCCCUUUCUUUGUGUAGUCUCCCUUAGGAAUAUCGAGGUUAGUGAUUAAUUCUUUAUAAGUAUUUAAACAUAAUUAUAUAAAUAUAUUAUAUAUAUUAUAUUUUUUGCCGUCUACUAAGCUAAAAAUUAUUCAUGGUUCCACACAUGCUGCUGUGAAGUUCACAUCCAAAAUGAAUGCUGAGGGUUUGAGGACCGAGAGACAAGUUAUUCUACCAUCGUUCUAGUCCUAGGGGCUGGCAGGUUGAGAGGGAACUGGAGAAGGAAGGAGAGCGAUCAGAUGCAGUUUUUGAUGAUAAUAUGUCAGCUAAUCAUCUUUUUAUGAGCUGGGAGCUGGCCCAGUUGGAGAAGAUGGGGUCUCGGAAUGAUAAUACUAAGAGGCACAGAAAAGUGGGUAGGGGGUAUGCAUUGGUGAUGGGUCCAGGAAAACUAGACUAGGAUCCAUCCAAAAAGAAUAUAUUCUAUUCACUUCUCCGAACUCCUAGCUGCACUUGGUGAGACCCAGGAUUUUCUACACUUCCAUGUGUGCCUGUUCCAAGUGUGGCUCUCAGCCAGCCACUCAGUUAACAAGUUUGUAUGAGGGCUCUUUCUCUGAUCACCAGGAUUACAGGAAGUCACACAUUCCUCAUUCUUGGCCUGUGGUCUCACUCAUUCUAAGUCCCCAAGCCUGGCCAUCAUUCACAGCCACAUGACCUAUUGUUGAUUUUCUGGGGAAAAAAAAAAAGACUGUCAUGGAAAUGACAUCGGGAAAAGGUGGGAGGAGAUGGAAGAACAGGCAGGGAUGGAGGAGCCAAGGGAGGCAGUAGACAGGGGAGAAGUCAGGGUUAAUCAGAGCGCAGGGCCAGGGAGGAUGAAAUGAGUCAAGGAAACUCAACCUUGUUCCAAGUCUCCCAAGCAGACCAAAUGGGAUCCUUUGCACAAGGCAGAAUGGGAGUUAAAUUCUCUUCAAGUGCGAUGUGUCAAAUCUGUGUCCCAGAGAGUUCCUUUGGAGCAAGCUGCAAAAAUACAUGGAGCAAGGGUGACACUCUGUGGGGAGAGAGAAGCAUUUCAACGAUUUGGGGUCCAUUUUGUCCUCGUUACCCUUUCUUGCUCAAUCGUUGGACUGUACGUGAAAUGACCAGGGUAACCUGCCUCUCUGUUUACAUCCAGGCUGAUGCUCCCUGCAUGUGGUCUCUUGCAGUUGUUUUUUGGUAAUGAUUUAUGGAUGAGGCCUUGGAGAGGGAGGGUAAGGAGCUAGUUUCUUGUUCAACACCCCAGUUUAUCAUCUCAGGAAGGGCUGGGAGGUUUGCCUCCCUCCAAGCCUCUUCUCCAGUGGAAGGGAAGAAAGGACAGGCACAAGUUCAAGGGCAUCCUUGGGCUCUCUGGAUCUCCUUCCUGCACUUUGGCUCUGACUGCAGUAUUCUACUCUUCCCAUCCACCCUGAAGCAAGGGCUGUGCAAAUAGAAAGGGGAAAUACCAAUCCCCCACCCCCACUACCUUGAACCGGAUUUUAUGUAGGAAAGAACAACAUUCUGGAAUGAAGUUAAAAGGAGAAGGCAACAUACACAUAUUUACCUGCGGGGAUGUGAAGUGAGAGCGGCAGAGUCACUGGGGAAAGGAAAGAGCAGCGUCUGCCCAUCGAAAAUAUACCUGUCCUCUGUAUUUACAGCCCUAACAGCAAGUAUUGCCUGGAUGCCUGCUGGUGCUUAUCUGGGUUGGCAUUCAGUGCCCCCCAAGAAGAGAAUAUUUGGGGGAUUCUGAUAGGUCACAACAUGGAAGGGACAAUAGAAAAGUUUAGAUGCUCCAUCUUAAAACAGUUGUGAAAUCAUUAUCCAAAGUUCUUGAAGCCGGCAAACUCUGUGCAGGGAACCCUGUCCUGUCUGAGACUGAGGCAGCAGAGCUGUUACCCUGGGCCCUGCAGGGCUCAGGGAGGCUCCAGCACGGCCCCUCCCCCAGGAACUCAGAGACUGCGCUUCACAGUGCAAGACUGGCCUGUCCCCCUAUAGGAAUCACAGGACAUUUCUCUUUUGUACUCCAUUUAAAAAUAUUUUAUUAUCUGUGGGCAACAUCUGCACUCCAUCACUGCCCUGGGAAUGUGAGCGGUGGUGUGUGGAAAGCCCUUCAGGCAGAAGGCUGCCUAGCCCGAGUCGGCUCUGGCCAUUCAGAGACAGCAGGUUCCCCCAACCUUUGUUCCUGGAGCCUGUGUUUUGCGCUCCUCAGGUCCCUGAUAAAGCUGAAGGUCUGAGAUGCCAUGGUCACAGAUCCCCAGUGGAUAUCAGCUCCACUGGCUCCAUGGGUCUGUGUUCUGCGGCUCUUCCCACCCACAAGGCCACAGAGGCUCUACCAUCAGUUCUUUGUUCCAAAAUCACUUCUCUGCUUCCUCUUUUUCCUAGUAAGUAGGAGCGCUGGUGUCCACGUUGCCUGGGGCUGCAGGACUCUGGUGAUUAGCAUAACAGCUCCGACCAGAGAGACUAGAUUGGAGGGAGGAGAAGGAUCAGCUGGCAAACUUGCACCUGAAGUGAAGAGCUGCUCUUGAUUCUCUCCUUUCCUUCCCUCCAUUACAAGGCAUUGGAUUUGGCACUUCCUCUCCUCUGAGAUCCCUAUUGAGUGUGACCGUUUGCACCCCAAAGGGAUGGUUUGAUUAGGAACGUAGUGAAAAGAGCGGAUCUACUGUAUUGUAACGUAAAACAGCUACAGCCAGUUAUUUUGUAAGAUUAUAAGAUGUUCAUUAAAAAAUCAGCACACAGAAUGGGAAGUGUCUUCAGUGUCUUAUUCUUCGUUUAAAUCAUUCCAUCACUUCCAAGUUGCUUUUCAUUUGCUCGUGCCCGGUCCAGACAUCCAUCAUUGAUUAAUUGAUUGAUGAGUCCUUUCAGUCACUUAAAAACUUUUAAGUAAAUGGUGCACAUAAAGAAGAUAAACAUGAAAGUUCAUGGGAAGAGAUGACAUAUUCAAAAGCAGGAUGAUGUCAAGUGUCUCAUGAGUUGUAGAAGUAAAAUGCAAGAGGAGUUCCCUGGUGGCUUAAUGGUAAAGGAUCUGGUGUUGUCACUGCUAUGGCUUGG